GAAAACUCAGCGUACCAUUGAAGUCAAAACUUUUGUGAAUAUGGCAUUUCGAUCUAUUCCUACUAAUGGGCGAGCAACUAGAAAUAUUAAUUGGACGGAA